rnacentral:rRNA from 1 species
AUAGGCUAAUUAAGGGCGUAUGGGGAAUGCCUAGGCUCUCAGAGGCGAUGAAGGACGUGAUAAGCUGCGAAAAGUUACGGGGAAUGGCACACACAUUUUGAUCCGUAAAUAUCCGAAUAGGGCAACCUGGUUAUUUGAAGAAUAAUCAUCCAUCUUGUAUGGAAGCAAACCCGGAGAACUGAAACAUCUAAGUACCCGGAGGAAGAGAAAACAAUAGUGAUUCCGUAAGUAGCGGCGAGCGAACGCGGAUUAGCCCAAACCGAUAAUGUUCCGGCAUUGUCGGGGUUGUAGGACUACAAUAUCGAGAAAAUAUUUGAAGUGGAAUCAUCUGGAAAGUUGAACUAUAAAAAGUGAUAGUCUUGUACACGUAAGCAUAUUAAUCGUAGUAGUAUCCUGAGUACCACGGAGCACGUGAAAUUCUGUGGGAAUCAGUCAGAACCAUCUGAUAAGGCUAAAUACUCCUAGAAGACCGAUAGUGGACUAGUACCGUGAGGGAAAGGUGAAAAGUACCCUGAAUAAGGGAGUGAAAUAGUACCUGAAACCGUGUGCUUACAAGCGGUCGGAGCUUCUUCGUGAAGUGACGGCGUGCCUUUUGCAUAAUGAUCCUACGAGUUGCUCCUCACUAGCGAGGUUAAGGGCUGAAGGCCCGGAGCCGAAGCGAAAGCGAGUCUGAAUAGGGCGUAUAGUUAGUGGGGGCAGACGCGAAACCUAGUGAUCUACCCAUGGCCAGGGUGAAGCUUUGGUAACACAAAGUGGAGGCCCGAACCCGUUGACGUUGAAAAGUCUUGGGAUGAGCUGUGGGUAGGGGUGAAAGGCUAAUCAAACUGGGAAAUAGCUCGUACUCCCCGAAAUGUUUUUAGGAACAGCGUCGGCAUCGAGUUAUACAGAGGUAGAGCUACUGAUUGGGUGCGGGGGAGUCAAAUCCUACCAAAUCCAGACAAACUCCGAAUGCUGUAUAAUAUGGCCGGCAGUGAGGCUAUGGGUGCUAAGGUCCAUGGCCGAGAGGGAAAGAACCCAGACCAUCAGCUAAGGUCCCCAAGUUGCAGUUAAGUUGAACUAACGAGGUGCGGUUGCAUAGACAGCUAGGAUGUUGGCUUGGAAGCAGCCAUUCAUUUAAAGAGUGCGUAACAGCUCACUAGUCGAGCGAUCGUGCAUGGAUAAUAAACGGGCAUCAAACUGCACACCGAAGCUAUGGGAUUGAAAUAUAUCGGUAGGGGAGCAUUCCAUGUGGGGCGAAGCUGUGGCGCGAGCCGUGGUGGACCGCAUGGAAAAGCAAAUGUAGGCAUAAGUAACGAUAAGGCGGGAGAGAAACCCGCCCACCGAAAGGAUAAGGUUUCCUGAUCAACGCUAAUCGGAUCAGGGUUAGUCGAGGCCUAAGGCGAACCCGAAGGGGGUAGUCGAUGGACAACGGGUUAAUAUUCCCGUACCUUUUAUAAUUGCGAUGUGGGGACGGAGUAGUGGAACUGCCGCGGCCUGACGGAAUAGGCCGUUGAAGACGGUAGGUAUACGCACGGUAGGCAAAUCCGCCGUGUGUGCCGAGAGUCGAUAGUACCGCGAGCCUUCGGGCAAGUGGAUAGCGCAGGUAAUCAGACUUCCAAGAAAAACCGCUAAGCUCCAGGUUAUAAAAGCUCGUACCGCAAACCGACACAGGUAUCCGGGAUGAGAAUUCUAAGGUGCUCGAGUGAAUCAUGGCUAAGGAACUCGGCAAAAUGGCCCUGUAACUUCGGGAGAAGGGGCGCUGGCAGCAAUGUCAGCCGCAGUGAAAAGGCCCAGGCGACUGUUUAACAAAAACACAUGGCUUUGCAAAAUCGAAAGAUGAAGUAUAAGGCCUGACACCUGCCCGGUGCUGGAAGGUUAAGAGGGGAUGUCAUCAGCAAUGAGAAGCAUUGAAUCGAAGCCCCAGUAAACGGCGGCCGUAACUAUAACGGUCCUAAGGUAGCGAAAUUCCUUGUC